rnacentral:rRNA from 1 species
GUAGGUGGCAAGCGUUGUCCGGAAUUAUUGGGCGUAAAGCGCGCGCAGGUGGUUUCUUAAGUCUGAUGUGAAAGCCCACGGCUCAACCGUGGAGGGUCAUUGGAAACUGGGGAACUUGAGUGCAGAAGAGGAAAGUGGAAUUCCAAGUGUAGCGGUGAAAUGCGUAGAGAUUUGGAGGAACACCAGUGGCGAAGGCGACUUUCUGGUCUGUAACUGACACUGAGGCGCGAAAGCGUGGGGAGCAAACAGGGAUUAGAUACCCUGGUAGUCCACGCCGUAAACGAUGAGUGCUAAGUGUUAAAGGGUUUCCGCCCUUUAGUGCUGCAGCUAACGCAUUAAGCACUCCGCCUGGGGAGUACGGUCGCAAGACUG